AUGGCGCGGCUCCUCUGCCGCCCCUCCGGCUUCACCUUCGGCGACUACGACAUGGUCUGGGUGCGCCAGAGCCCCGGGAAGGGGCUGGAAUGGCUCGCUGGGAUCAACACUGGUGGUACCACCACCUACGCACCGUCGGUGAAGGGCCGGUUCAGCAUGGCCAGGGACAACGGGCAGAGCUCGGUGACGCUGCAGAUGAACAACCUCAGGGACGAGGAUUCCGCCACCUAUUUCUGUGCCAAAGCAUACCCCAAAUUUGAACUGUUGACCCAACUCUAA